rnacentral:misc_RNA from 1 species
UAUCUGUAGGUGAACCUGCGGAAGGAUCAUUCAUAAUAAAGUGUUUUAUGGCACUUUUUAAAAAUCCAUAUCCACCUUGUGUGCAAUGUUAGAUCUCGUCAAUCUUGGCGAGAUUUUUAUACAUCAACUCAUUCUUUAACUAAUUUGUCUGAAAAAUAUUAUGAAUACUUAAUUCAAAAUACAACUUUCAACAACGGAUCUCUUGGCUCUC